AGUGAAAGGUUUUGUUUUUCAUUCUGAAGUGUACUCAGAGGGACACUAUGCCUUAUGGAUAUGCUUCAAACAAAUGCCAGACCUUAGGACAAAUCACACGGCAGUUUACACCUACCUUUGGAAGUUUUUUCACAGUUUUCAGUUGACAGAAUCCAAUGGAAACUCCAUUUCUGAGUCUGGCACUACAGUGGCAAUGGGUGGAAAUUCCCAGGAAGUGGAAAGGGAACUGGUAAUUUCCCGCUUUAGUGUUAAAAGAAACUUCAUGAGAAACCUGAAUGCCAGCAGUCUUACAAUGAAGCCUACAAUAACCCCAUUCUCUGCUCUCCUGGCUAUAGGCUUCUGCACCUACUUCACAGAGUUAUACUGCAGAAGGACAAACAGCCAGUGUGUUUAAGUCCUCACGGGAGGCAAGGCAACAGACUGUUAAAAUGCUGGUUCAAGAAGCAGGAGGAAGGCAAGGAUGGGAAGACAUGUAUCGGACGACU